UACCCCUCUGAAAAUAAAUCCCACUUUUUUGCUUAAUUGAAGGAUAUCCCUGGAAGUCCUGGGACUUCCUUGUGAAGUCCCACUUCUCCCAUGUCCUAAUGCAGUGGGAUAAUACAGGACUUCAUGUUUCUGCAUUUGUCCUGGAAUAUCCCACUUACAUCAAGAGUGACUUUGCAAGAAUUUCUAGGACAUAUUUAUUACCUAAAUGUCUUACAAAGUCCCACUCUCAUAGCAGCAGGUUUUUCUAGGACAUUCUUGUGUUUUUCAGGACUUUAUUAUAAAAUGAAGAUGAAAACAUCGUCCCAGAAAUUCCCUAAAAAUCUCAUACUUGAUACAUUCAAGAUAAUGCAAGACUUUACAUUGCUUUCCAGGACUUCGUAUUAAAAGUAUGCAAAGAGAGAAGUCUUGCAAUUACCCUCAAAAUCUUACAACCAGUGAAGUCAGAUUAUAAAGGACUUUAAUGAGGGUUACAGGACUUUUAGAUAUUAAUUGUUACAAAAUUAAAUCCUUGUCAUAUCAAAGAAAAGAUUUUACAUUUCUGGAUUACCUUGACAUGUCAUUGCUACAUAGUUCAGGCUAAAAAAAAACCUAUAAGAACAGUGAAUGAUUCGUGGAUACGAACAUUUAUGUAUACAACAACAAUCAUGUUAUAAUAACAACAAUCUGAACUUGAAUAAAAAUCACUUUACUGUCAAAUGCGCUAUUGAAAUCCUCAAUGUCACUUGAAUGACUACCAUAAUUUGAGUUUUGAGAUGCUUCAUCACAGGAGUUCAAUCGGGUUUGUCAUGUUUUUUUUUUUUAGGUUAGAAUAUUGUCCAGUGUAUUAUUAAGAUCAUUUUGAUAACAGAUUUCCAGUUCCUGGGCUACCUUCUUCAAAAUAAAGAAGAUCCCUUUUUGUGAAAGAAUGUUCAAAAAUUCAUCAGAUUCUGUGGUAGGCUUUUCCAUUUCCAGAGAUGACACAGCGGCAUUAAUGUUCGAAACUGAACUUUAAAAAAUGUCUGUAUCAAAAGGAUUGCAAUUCAGGUUCAAGUGAUGAUAAGUUAGAAGGAUUUUCCAAUGUCACGGUCGUAUCACUUGAAGUACCAAUGGCAUAUCAACUUUUGGAUGUCACCACUGAAGAUUGCAGUUGAUGUUUUAAUAUUUAGUUACUGUACAUUUAGGAAUUCGCAUGUUUACAUCUUUCUUGCACAGCAUUUACCUUUUGGGUUCUCAAUCUCCUGCAAUAAUAAUUAAUUACAAAUUAUUAAUGAAGAAACUUAAUUUUCAAGACACUGAUUAAAAAUUUUAUAUUUAGAAAAGUUUCUUUGACACAUCAAUGUUUUGAGGUGCAAAUAGCAAUAAAUUAUCACUGAUGGAUACAAUCAGCUUGCCAUGCUAAAUUUUGUAACCGUACUGUCCGUAGUUAUUUUACGAAGCAGUAAUAAUUACAGAACAAGGUCAACUGAUCGAAACAGAAUCAUAAUGAUGGAUAUCCAUGAUACAAUGUUCUGGUGAUUAUACCCUUUCCAUCUAGAUCGAACCAGUCAAUGGUUUACGUUAUAAAAAAGAGUAGUUUGUUUUGAUAUGUUAAGCUGUAAAUAGAAUGAUUGUAUCGAGGAAUUUCGAGUGGUCCAGCGAUCAAGCGUGUAUUUUUCCAAUGCAUGUAAUCAUUUACAAACAUAAACAAAAUAAGGAUAUGGUACUUACAGAGUGUCAUCCGUUACCCCGUAGUCCUUUUUCAUUCCGAUGUUAUUGAUUUCCAUUCACAAAUCUUUAAAUCAUAAAUGACUUCUUUGAAAGUUGUAACUUCCGGUGAUGUCGUUUCGGUCAACUUGUACAAUGUACGAAGCUUGUCGUGUUUUUUUCUUCUCCCCGUUCUAAUUCGAUAUAAGAUAUAUCAUGUAUAAAAUAUAUCAUAUGUAUAUAUAUGAAGUCUUAUACACUGGGUUUCCACUGGUCUAUUGUAUAACUUUUUACUGAUCGUCUCUUGGUUACGUGUUGACCUGAGGACGAGUCAGUCAGUGUACGACCUAACGUUCACGCAAGUGAUCAAAGCGCUUUUUUUUCAAUGUUCCUUUCUGGGCGCGAAGUCAGGGAAAUAUUCGCAAGGAUGGAGAACAUUCAACAGAAUCAGUAAGCAAUCAAGCAUGGAAUGGAUUCCAGAUAGGAAUAUAGGAUUCACCUUACACUCAGAAACUGGGGGAUAGGCCUAGUUGUUCAAAAUACACGGCGUUGCUGGUUAGUAUUUUUACUUUUGGUUUGUAAUAAUUCGUCUUUUUUGGUAGUCUAGUGGAAUAUGUCACACCUUAACAAAUUAUCAUCCUGUUUCCAAUAUUUUUAUCUAGUACAUGUUCUCUUUCAUUGUAGCAUGGACUUGAAGAGAUAGUUAUGAAUUUAGAAUAUCAUCAAGUGACUUUUAAUAAGGCACUGUUUUCAGUGGAUGAACCGACAUCAUGCAGUGUGACAGAAAAACACCCGUGAGACCAAAGAUGGCUUAGAUAAAAGGGAAGACGAUGUAGAAGCCUCUGUACCAGAGAAAAAUCCAGAGAUGGUCCUCAAAGAAGUUAGAAACAAGAUGAGAGACCGUCUCAAGUGUUUAGGUCUGGAGCCACCUUCCCCCACCCACGAGUCGAAGAAAUAGAUCUUUGAACCAGGUUACCCGUGACAUCAAGAUAAACAAAAUUCAACUUCAGGGACAAUUUGAUAAUACCUGUUUAAAAUUUUUUUUUUUUAGCUCACCUGGGCCGAAGGUUCAAGUGAGCUUUUCUGAUCAAAAUUUGUUCGUUGUCUGUCGUCGGCGAAAACUUUUCACAUUUUCAUCUUCUCCAGAACCACUGGGUCAAUUUCAACCAAACUAAGUGACACAAAGCACCCUUGGGUGAAAGGCUUUCAAGUUUGUUCAAAUGAAGGGCCAUGCCCCUUCAAAGGGGAGAUAAUCGCAAAAAUACGGUGGGGUCAUUCAAAAAUCUUCUCAAGAACCACUGGGACAGAGAAGCUGAAAUUUACAUGAAAGCCUCCUAACAUAGUACAGAUUCAAGUUUGUUAAAACCAAUGACCUGGGGGGGGGGGGGGGGGGGGGGGGGGGGGGUUGGAUUGGGUCUCAAUAGGGAAUCAAAGUUUUACUUACAAAUAUACAGGGAAAAUCUUUAUGAAAAUUGUCUUCUCAAGAAACACUUGGCCAGAAAAGCUGAGAUUUACAUGAAAGCUUCCCGACAUAGUGUAGACUCAAGUUUGUAAAAUUCACAGGGUUGUCACUAACGCAAGAAUAGGAUCACAGAAAUUUCAUUGGGGUUUGUCUGAUAUGGCGAGUCCCGCAGACGUGUCUCGGACUCUGAGUAAAAAUCAUAAUUUUACUUAGAAGCCCUGAUUUGUGUAUUAAUUAAAACUCAUAGGAAAAAAUCUAGGUAAAACGUUACGCUCUAAUGUGAACCGAGAUGAUACCAUCGAGGUCACAGUGUCCCAAUCCAACUUGUUUGUUUAGUGCAGUCAAUUAGGUGCAAAUUAGAAUAUAAUAUUGAAAUUUAGAUACAAAGUAAAAAACAUUUUGUCACUCACAGGCAGUUAUUUAUAUAUGUUUCUUUUUCUUUUUUUUUUUACAAAUCAGGAUCUAUAUUUAAUUAUAAAUGUUUGUCUUCCGGUAGCCAUUUUUAUUGGAAUUGAAAGUAGCGUAGUUUGUAAACUUUGGUAGAUUUUACAUCGUUUUACAAACAAAAUUAGUACGCAUCUAUUUUAUCACAAUAAUUAUUUAAUUAAAAUUUUGUUUAAUACUGAAUAGGGUUCAGUAACGAUGAUAGAGGAUUCGGGGAAGUAAUUCUGUUUGCAAUGGGCAAUUAGUUGUAUGAGACCGAGUCGUGAAUGAUUACUUUUAAUUUCAUGUGUACAAAGUGAUCACUGCACUGUUAUGCAUGGGCUUGGCGAAAAUUAACUGAUUUUUGCCAUUUGUUGAAGAUGAAAGUAAACAGAGGUACGACAUUAGCUUGUGUUCACUCGGUAUAAAUAAAGGUGUAGGAAAAAUCUAAAUGACUCUUUAAUUCAACUUUCAUGGGACUCGUCAAAUUUUCAUGGGACUCAAGCUGCUUAAAAACCAUGAUACCGGGACUCGUCUUCAAUAUUUUCUAGUGACAACCCUGAAUCGUGGCCCCCAAGGGUAGGUUUUGGCCACAUUAUAGGGACAAAAGUUUUACAUACAAGUAUAUGGGAAAUCUUUAAAUAUGGACCAAGAUGACUAAGAUGAGCGAUGUGGCCCAUGGACCUCUUGUUUAAUUAUUUGUUUACGUAAGAAAUAGUGCUUUUUAGCUCACCCCAGCCAUAAUUUAAAUGAACUUUUCAAAGUACUUGUGUUGGAAGUUCAUAUAAGUAUUGCUGAAAUUUAUGUAUAUGUAUGUUAAAUAAAUUUUAUUAUCAGAUUAUCAUUUUGAUUCAUAAUUUCAUUCUUAAUUGCCACUUUUACAGAAAAGAUAUCACAUAUCCUGGAUCUCAAGUUUUAUUCCACAGUAGGGUAAGACCAAAACAGGUUAGUAGGAUAAAUUGGGACUUUCCAGGAGUCCUGCAUCAACUCAAAAAGUAGGAUUUUUAGGGAGAUCCAAUAAAAUCCUGCAAAAUCCCAGUCCUGUCUACUGGGACUUUCCAAGACAUGUCCAGAAUAAUCCCACUUUCUCCCCUUUCAGAUUGUAGGAUUAAGUGAGACUUUGCAGGACUAUAAAAGGCAAAUUUAAGUGUUCAAAUUAUCCUUAAAAGUCCUGAAAUGUCCCACUGCCAAUACCGUCCCUCUAAUUCCUUGUCAAUCUCAGUUUCAAAAAAGCUGGACUUUUCAGGACAAUCCUGAUAAAUCCUGGGAUUUUGUCUCGGGACUUCCUGGGAUAUCCUGCUGUAUUUUCAAUGGGGAAAUUAUCCUUAAAAGUCCUGAAAUGUCCCACUGCCAAUACCGUCCCUCUAAUUCCUUGUCAAUCUCAGUUUCAAAAAAGCAGGACUUUUCAGGACAAUCCUGAUAAAUCCUGGGAUUUUGUCUCGGGACUUCCUGGGAUAUCCUGCUGUAUUUUCAGAGGGGUAAUCAACACACCAUGGUAGGUACAAAGAUGCAAAUUAUCAACUCCUCGUUAACUAUGAUGACUAUUAAAAUGUGUGAAAAAAAAAUUUUGUUAGGUAUUUCUUUACCCGGAUGGGGUAUCUAACAAAAGCAGUGUACACAACAAUGGCUUCGAAAAACACACGCUUUUACGCAAGAAUAGUUAUUUCAAAGAUUCAAAUAAGUAUUUCAUUAAAAAUUAGGCCUAUAUUCAUAAAACUUACAGUAAACAAACUUUUAACAAGUGACAAAAUUAUUUUCCAACAAUUCUAGCACGUGUCAAGGCAUUAUUGUGUACAUAUGCUUUCAAUAAUGGCGGCAUGCGAUGUAAUGAAUAGUCAGAUCCAAUGCAAUUUGAUUGGCUGUUUGUUUCAUGAUAAUUGAAUUAUUUAGAUAUUGUAAGUAUAUAUAUCACAUUUUCAGCAAUUUUACGUUUCUGUAGUAAUUUUCUUGAGGUCGAAUUUUCUACUUAAUAAAUAGGUGAACGUAAAAAGGCGUACAGUAUCCGAAGCCUUGGUCUUUGAGUGAAAUAUUACACUACUUAAUCGCCGAGUUUCAUCUGGAAAAAAAGGUCAAAAACCUAUUGUGGUAUAUAAUACGCACCCCUUUCUGGCACAAAAAUAUUCUCUAAAAAAAGUGCGUAUUAUAUUCGGCAAAAUACGGUACUAGUAAUGAGUAGGUCUUCCGAUAGACCACUUCCGGUAAAGAGCUUUCUAUUCCUACGAAAACCAUUUAAAUGUAUCAGAAAAUGUGCCUUAACAAUGAAUGAGAAAUGUAUUAUCGAAUUUUUUACUCCUUUCUCGUAACUUCCGGUGACGACCGGAAGUACUAUUCAGAUGCGUUUUCCUAUAAAUGACAGCGACUCUUUACUGUCUAUAUUCCCUGAAAAUUUCAGGUCUCUAUCUGAAAGAGUUCUCAACAAAAAGAAGUAGACUAAAGAAAGAAAAAGUAAUAGGUUACUACCAACCGGAAGUCAAUUUUGAAAAACAAAAUUAUCAAAACUUUAGAAGUUGAUACUUUUUAUUAAGACAUGUGAAAAUCAUAUGAAAGACUUCAAAUAUAAGCGAGAUUUAUGGGGACAAACAGGCGAAAAGAAACCGGAAGUAGUUGUUUUGACUACCGACAGAGUCUAUAUUCUUUUGACACUUUGAAAGAGAGUUAAUAAACUAGUAUAGGUUUCAAUUUAAAAGAAAAAGUUUGAAAUUUGCGAUUUUUUUCAUCAUUUUCGGUGACGACAGGAAGUGACGGUCGACAUGUUCAACCCCCUACUGCACGCUUACAAACGGAGAUUGACCAUCUCUGAAUUUUUGAUGAACCUAUCUUUUACCGUUUCCAAGAAAAAUGCUGGACAAAAUUCCUUUUGAGAAACAGAAAAUCGGCCCUAUUUUCCGACCGGAAGUGAAUUUUGUAAAAACAUAAAGAAUUAUAGCAAGGUCAUUUCAUAAGACAUUAUUCCUGAAAAUUUCAAGAAAAUAUAUCCAGCCAUCUCUGAGAAAUCACUCGAAGAAAUCGGAAAAUCUACAUUUUUUUUAAAUACUUCCGGUAUAGACCGGAAGUGACGGACGAAAAAAUUGAAUGUAUCUGUACAAUGGACUAAUGUUAGUUGAUCAACUCUACAAGUUUCAAGCGUCUAUCUAUAUUUAUUAUUGAGAAACUGAAAAAACAAAGUUUGAAUAUGUCCACCCCAUAUCUCACGACCGGAAGUGAAUUUUACAAAAAUAUUUAAAUUUACUCUAGACAUUUAUAGUGUCUAUAACAUAUGUAAAAUUCAAAUCAUCAACUUGUUUUAUGACCGAGAUUUAUGGCACUGAAAAAUGAGAGAAUGAAUAGUCUUUCUUUGAUAUAACCGGAAGUUGGAGAUUUAACUUCCGGUGGGGUCAACAUUUUUUGAGAAUUAGAACGAGACCUAAUAAACCGAUAUAGGUUUCAAUUUGAAAGAAAAAAGUUUGAAAUUUAUGAUUCAUUAAUCACUUCCGGUGACGACCGGAAGUGACGGACGACAUUCUUAACCCCCUACUGCACACCUAUAAAGUCAGAUCUAUUCACUCUGAAAAUUUGGUGACUCUAUCUUUUACCGUUUCUGAGAAAAACGCUGGACAACGAAAACAGCUAAUAAGCCGUAUUUGCCGACCGGAAGUGAAUUUAACAAAAAUAUUUGACAUUACUCUAGACAUUUAUAGUGACUAUAAUAUAUGUAAAACUCAACUCAUUAACUAGUUUCAUGACCGAGAUUUAUGGCACUGAAAAAUGAGAGAAUGAAUAGUCUUUCUUUGAUAUAACCGGAAGUUGGAGAUUCAACUUCCGGUGGGGUCAACAUUUUUUGAGAAUUAGAACGAGACCUAGUAAACCGAUAUAGGUUUCAAUUUGAAAGAAAAAAGUUUGAAAUUGAUGAUUUAUUUAAUCACUUCCGGUGACGACUGAAAGUGACGGCGACAAAAAAUAUUACGUGCAUGCACCAUAGAGAAAAUAGAUCUAUCAUCCCUGAAAGUUUCAUUCGAUUAUCUUUAGUGGUUUUCAAGUUUACCCCCGGACAAAGUUUAUUUCAAAAACCGGAAAAUCGGAUGUAUCUCACGAACGGAAGUGAAUUUUGAAAAAAUGAAAAAAAGGCCUCGAGGUACCAUCAUUCUCUAUAACCUGUGAAAGUUUCAGGAAAAUCCAUCC